GACGAACGCUGGCGGCGGGCUUAACACAUGCAAGUCGAACGGAAAGGCCCUGCUUUUGUGGGGUGCUCGAGUGGCGAACGGGUGAGUAUCACGUGAGUAACCUGCUCUCGUUUUUGGUGUAACUUCAGGAAAGUGGGGCUAAUCUCGGAUAGGAGCUCCCGUUCCAGGGUGGGCGUUGGAUAGUUUCGGCGGUCGGGGAUGGACUCGCGGCUUAUCAGCUUGUUGGUGGGGUAGUGGCUUACCCAGGCUUUGACGGGUAGCCGGCAUGUGAGGGUGACCGGCGACAUUGGGACUAAGAUACGGCGCAGACUCCAACAGGAGGCAGCAGUGGGGAGUCUUGCACAACGGGCGGAAGCCUGAGGCAGCAGCGCCGCGUGCGGGAUGACGGCCUGCGGGGUGUAAACCGCAUCCGCCUGUGACGAAGCGUGUGUGACGGUAAUGGAAAAAGAAGCACCGGCUAACUACGUG
rnacentral:rRNA from 1 species